GAGUUUGAUCCUGGCUCAGGACGAACGCUGGCGGCGUGCUUAACACAUGCAAGUCGAGCGAUGAAGCUUCCUUCGGGAAGUGGAUUAGCGGCGGACGGGUGAGUAACACGUGGGCAACCUGCCUCAAAGAGGGGAAUAGCCCUCCGAAAGGAGGAUUAAUACCGCAUAAAGUUAGAGUUUCGCAUGAAACUUUAACCAAAGGAGUAAUCUGCUUUGAGAUGGGCCCGCGUCCCAUUAGCUAGUUGGUAAGGUAAUGGCUUACCAAGGCAACGAUGGGUAGCCGACCUGAGAGGGUGAUCGGCCACAUUGGAACUGAGACACGGUCCAGACUCCUACGGGAGGCAGCAGUGGGGAAUAUUGCGCAAUGGGGGAAACCCUGACGCAGCAACGCCGCGUGGGUGAUGAAGGUUUUCGGAUCGUAAAACCCUGUUUUCUGGGACGAUAAUGACGGUACCAGAUGAGGAAGCCACGGCUAACUACGUGCCAGCAGCCGCGGUAAUAC
rnacentral:rRNA from 1 species